rnacentral:siRNA from 1 species
UUCAUGUAACUUCAGGGAGAGA